rnacentral:RNase_P_RNA from 1 species
CAGGUGAUCGCUGCCAAACCGGGUUUCCGGAAUGGUGGAGGAAAGUCCGAACACGACAGGACACGGUGGUGGAUAACGUCCACCGGCUUUCAAUCGUCAAGCCAGGGAUAGUGCCACAGAAAACAAACCGCCGAUUCAUAUCGGCAAGGGUGAAAAGGUGCGGUAAGAGCGCACCGCCCGGUCGGUGACGAUCGGGGCAGGGUAAACCCCACCGCGUGCAAGCGCAAGCAGUCCUCGAUAUCCGGCAUGCCGGGUAUGUCCGUAGUCCGCGGGUGAGGACGGGUCGCGUGCUCGAGGCCAUCGGCAACGGUGGUCCCAGAUGAAUGGUCACCACCCCGUACCUCGUCGAUGACUGGGAACGGGGGACAGGAUUCGGCUUACGUUC